GGGGGGGUCUUUGCUCUUUGCUGAUAGCACAGAGCCUGCUUGGGAUUCUCUCUCCCUCUCUCUUUCAAAACUAAGAGGAAAAAAAUGGUAGUGAUCUAGCUAUUUAUCAUUCCCUACUCCCUGCCCUGGCCUCUGGGAACUUUUGAAAGUUAAGAUAUGCUUACAUGAAAUGAUACAUGUUGACCUUUGGCAUGCUGACAGGCAUUUUCCCCCUGUGGUCUUUAACUUCUUAACCUGUUUUUCAGGAAAUUCAGUUUCUAUUGGGUUGAUUCACUACUGUGCAAGAAGACAGAGAAUAUGCACUUUUAGGAAGGAACCUUUUUAUACAUAUGGCUAAUUGUGACUCUUAGUAAAUGGAGUACAGAACUCACAAAUGAGUGUGGACUCAAGGUUUAAAAAGCACUGCAGGAACCAACUACCUAGGACUGGAAUUACUGAAUCUUAGGGAAAAUGAAUUCACUUUACAAGUCACAAACAGUAGCAAAUGAAAUUUAAAAAGAUGAAAUCUCCAAUUGCAUCAAAAACAUCACAUACCUGGCAAUAAAUAUAAUAAAAGUUGGGCAAGACCAUCACACCAAAGAACUACAAAUCAUUAUUGAGAGAAACUAAAGACGAUCAAAUUAACAGAAGUCAGAGGAGGUGAAAGAGGAGUCACAGGAAGUUGGAACAACUGCAGGCCCCACGCGGUUCC